CCCUGCCAUUUGUACACACCGCCCGUCGCUCCUACCAAUUGAAUGAUCCGGUGAAAUGUUCGGAUCAGAGCUGACCCUGGGGCAACUCUGGAAGGUUCAGAGAAUUUCAUUAAACCUUAUCAUUUAGAGGAAGGAGAAGUCGUAACAAGG
rnacentral:rRNA from 1 species